rnacentral:rRNA from 1 species
UACGGAGGGUGCAAGCGUUAAUCGGAAUUACUGGGCGUAAAGCGCGCGUAGGUGGUUUGAUAAGCGAGAUGUGAAAGCCCCGGGCUUAACCUGGGAACGGCAUUUCGAACUGUCAGGCUAGAGUAUGGUAGAGGAGUGUGGAAUUUCCUGUGUGAGGUAC